rnacentral:rRNA from 1 species
GCCAUGCUAGUUGCACGAGUUUAGACUCGUAGCAGAUAGCUCAGUAACACGUGGCCAAACUACCCUACAGAGCGCGAUAACCUCGGGAAACUGAGGCUAAUAGCGCAUACGGCUCUCACGCUGGAACUGCGGAGAGCUCGAAACGCUCCGGCGCUGUAGGAUGUGGCUGCGGCCGAUUAGGUAGACGGUGGGGUAACGGCCCACCGUGCCAGUAAUCGGUACGGGUUGUGAGAGCAAGAGCCCGGAGACGGUAUCUGAGACAAGAUACCGGGCCCUACGGGGCGCAGCAGGCGCGAAACCUUUACACUGCACGUCAGUGCGAUAAGGGGACUCCAGGUGCGAGGGCAUAUAGUCCUCGCUUUUGUACACCGUAAGGUGGUGUACGAAUAAGUGCUGGGCAAGACCGGUGCCAGCCGCCGCGGUAAUACCGGCAGCACAAGUGAUGACCGCUAUUAUUGGGCCUAAAGCGUCCGUAGCUGGCCAGGCAAGUCCGUCGGGAAAUCUCCCCGCCCAACGGGGAGGCGUCCGGUGGAAACUGUCUGGCUUGGGACCGGAAGAUCCAGAGGGUACGUCCGGGGUAGGAGUGAAAUCCCGUAAUCCUGGACGGACCACCGGUGGCGAAGGCGCUCUGGAAAGACGGAUCCGACGGUGAGGGACGAAAGCUCGGGUCACGAACCGGAUUAGAUACCCGGGUAGUCCGAGCUGUAAACGAUGUCUGCUAGGUGUGCCACAGGCUACGAGCCUGUGGUGUGCCGUAGGGAAGCCGUGAAGCAGACCGCCUGGGAAGUACGUCCGCAAGGAUGAAACUUAA